AUAUCAGUAAGCGGAGGAAAAGAAACUAACAAGGAUUCCCUUAGUAACGGCGAGCGAAACGGGAAAAGCCCAGCCUCGAAGCUCCCCUUGUGGGCGCGGUGUGAGGUGUGGUAUUGCAUACCUGGUCGUAUACGGCGUCAUUUCUAAGUUUGCUAUGAACGCAACGCCACAGAGGGUGAUAGCCCCGUAUGAAAUGGCGCAGGCGGCCGCACAGGGUGCUUUACUCUGAGUAGGGUUGUUUGAAAGUGCAACCCGAAUUGGGUGGUAAACUCCAUCUAAGGCUAAAUACGUGCAUGAGUCUGAUAGUCAACAAGUACCGUGAGGGAAAGUUGCAAAGUACUCUGAAAAGAGAGUAAAAUAGUACGUGAAACUGCUAACAUGUGAAUCGGGUGUAGUGUCAACUGCCGGAUGGCAAUUCUGUUAGAGUUGUACUGAAAGGCGCUACUAUCUGUUGAUUGAGUGCUGUGUCGUCGCAAACUGUGAUGCUGCGUUGUCGUCUUUGCUGGAACUUUGGGCUAAUUUACUGCUUUUAAGUUCGGUAGGGCUCCAACCUUUAAUCCCCUUUGUUUGGCAUGAACAAUCAAUUGCAGUGGUAGUAAACGUCGAGGCUACACCCGGCCCGUCUUGAAACACGGACCAAGAAGUCUAACACUGUUGCAAGUCACAGAGCAGUUCGUAUGCUUCUGGGCGAAAUGAAAGUGCACUUUGGUCACAAAGUUGUGUGGUGAUACGUACAAAGCUGUACGGAGCAACCACGGGCAGGCGAACACUUGUGUUCAACCUGACCUUGAGCAGCAGUGUUAGGACCCGAAAGAUGGUGACCUAUGCUUGGUGAGAGCAAAGCCACGGGAAACCAUGGUGGAAGCUCGCAAGGAUUUUGACGUGCAAAUCAAUCUCCAGAACUGUGCAUAGGGGCGAAAGGCCAAUCGAACCAUCUAGUUGCUGGUUCCCUCCGAAGUUUCCCUCAGGAUAGCUGGCUGUCAUCAUUGAACAGUUUUACCGGGUAAAGCUAAUGAUUAGAGGUCUUGGGGAAGUUUAUUUCCUCAACCUAUUCUCAAACUUUAAAUCGGUAAGAAGUGGCUGUUUCUUAAUUGAACAGUUGCGUUGAAUGUGGCUGCCCAGUGGGCCGUUUUUGGUAAGCAGAACCGGCGAUGCGGGAUGAACCGAACGUCUAGUUACGGCGCCAAACAAGUGCUCAUGAGAUAUCAGAAAAGGUGUUGAUUGGUUUUGACAGCAGGACGGUGGCCAUGGAAGUCGGAAUCCGCUAAGGAGUGUGUAACAACUCACCUGCCGAACCAAUCAGCCCUGAAAAUGGAUGGCGCUUGAGCACUUGGCCUAUACUAGACUGUAGCAUUUUUAUGGUGAUAGCAGGUACUUGUGCCUGUUUCAUCGAUAUGGUGCUACAAGUAGGAGGGCGUGUAGGUUGCAGAGAAGCUCGCUGCGUAAGCAGCAGUGGAGCGGCCUACAGUGCAGAUCUUGGUAGUAGUAGCAAGUACUCAAGUGACAGCCUUGAGGACCGACGUGGGGAAGGUUUCCAUGUGAACAGCAGUUGAACAUGGGUUAGUCGGACCUAAGUGACGAGCGAAAGCAGUAUUCGAUGGUUCAGGCUCGAGCCUGACGUCACGAAAGGGAAUGGGGUUAAUAUUCCCCAACCUGUUUCCUUGGUGUUAAAGGCGGCAACGCGUGUGCGCGCCGGGACGUAGUACGAAGACCGGGAAAGAGUUCUCUUUUCUUGUUAAGAAGGGAUUGCCUUGGAAUCGGAUUAUCCGGCGAUAAGGUAGUUUCCUUCAAAGAGCACAACAGUUCUUGUUGUGUCCCGCGCUCUUCGGACUACCCUUGAAAACCGGCGAACACUAGUACCACGGAAACAGACCGUACCGAUAACCGCAUCAGGUCCCCAAGGUGAAAAGCCUCUGGUUCUGGAACAGUGUAGAUAAGGGAAGUCGACAAAACGGAUCCGUACCUUCGGUACAAGGAUUGGCUCUGAGGAUUGGGCUCAUCAAGCCUUGGUGUUGAGUGCUUGUCUUUCGUAUUUCGAGGAAAGCCUUCUCGCAAGGUUUUUCUUGGAUGUCGUUGGCUUGCACUUGAUGCCUUGGUAUUUAUUGGUGGGCAUUUAACAAUCAGGCUCAGAACCGGCGCGGACAUGGGGAAUCCGACUGUUUAAUUAAAACAAAGCAUUGCGACGGCUGGUGAAUGGUGUUGACGCAAUGUGAUUUCUGCCCAGUGCUCUGAAUGUCAAAGUGAAGAAAUUCAACCAAGCGCGGGUAAACGGCAGGAGUAACUAUGACUCUUUUAAGGUAGCCAAAUGCCUAGUCAUCUAAUUAGUGACGCGCAUGAAUGGAUUAACGAGAUUCCCAUUGUCCCUAUCUACCAUCCAGCGAAACUACAGCCAAGGGAACGGGCUUGGAAAAGUUAGCGGGGAAAGAAGACCCUGUUGAGCUUGACUCUAGUCUGACGUUGUGAAGGGACUCGGAAGGUGUAGGAAAUAGGUGGGAGCCGCAAGGCGACAGUGAAAUACCACUACUUUCGACUUGUCUCUUCACUAAUCGAGUGAAAAGGAGAAGGAGGUAUCUCUUUCUUUUUGUAUAAGCUUAAGUAAUUGCGCUUUUGCUAUCCCAUCUCGAGACAGCGUCAGGUGGGGAGUUUGACUGGGGCGGUACAUCUGUCAAACAAUAACGCAGGUGUCCUAAGACUGACUCAGUGAGGACAGAAACCUCACGUAGAGCAAAAGGGUAAAAGUCAGUUUGAUCUUGAUUUUCAGUAUGAAUACAGACUGUGAAAGCAGGGCCUAUCGAUCCUUUUGACUUUAAGAGUUUUAAGCAAGAGGUGUCAGAAAAGUUACCACAGGGACAACUGGCUUGUGGCGGCCAAGCGUUCAUAGCGACGUCGCUUUUUGAUCCUUCGAUGUCGGCUCUUCCUAUCAUCGCGAAGCAGAAUUCGCGAAGUGUUGGAUUGUUCACCCACUAACAGGGAACGUGAGCUGGGUUUAGACCGUCGCGAGACAGGUUAGUUUUACCCUACUAACGGGUUACGGAACAUUGCAGCAGUAAUUCUACUCAGUACGAGAGGAACAGCAGAUUCAGACAUGU
rnacentral:rRNA from 1 species